rnacentral:tRNA from 1 species
GCGCCCGUAGCUCAGCAGGAUAGAGCAACGGACUUCUAAUCCGUGGGUCAGAGGUUCGAAUCCCCUCGGGCGCG